rnacentral:rRNA from 1 species
ACGGAGGGUGCGAGCGUUAAUCGGAAUUACUGGGCGUAAAGCGCGUGCAGGUGGUUCAUUAAGACAGGUGUGAAAGCCCGGGGCUCAACCUGGGAAUUGCAUUUGAGACUGGCGAGCUGGAGUGCUGUAGAGGGGGGUAGAAUUUCACGUGUAGCAGUGAAAUGCGUAGAGAUGUGGAGGAACACCGAUGGCGAAGGCAGCCCCCUGGGCCGAUACUGACGCUCA